AAUAUAUCCAGCGAUUCAGAGAACCCGUGAACGAGCGAUGGCACUCGCCGUCGCGUACAUUCGUCCUUGUUGUGGGCCUCAUUGUGGCCAUGAUGGGGGGCGGAUAAAACUCAAACCGGCGCAGCUACGCGCCAAGGCAAUGCAAAUAGACACGAGCCCGCAUCGGGUUUGGUGGCGUGGAGUGCUUUUGCACACCACACGGAUCAAAAUGACUCUCGGCAAUGGAUAUCUCGGCUCUCGCAUCGAUGAAGAGCGCAACGAAAUGCGAUACGUGGUGCGAAUUGCACAAUCCCGCGAACCAUCGAGAAUUUGAACGCAAGUUGCGCCCGAGGCCAGCCGGCCAAGGGCACGUCCGCCUGGGCGUCAAGCGUUGCGUCGCUCCGUGCUAGCUCCAUCCCACCUGACGGGUGUGCAUGGAGACCGUCGGAUGUGCAGAGUGGCUCGACGGUCCCACGGGUGCCACGGGCUGAAGAGCGGGUGAUCGUCUAGUUGGCCACGAACAACAAGGGGUGGAUGAAAAUUGUGCCUGUGUUGUAUCGGGGCACAUGAGAAGAGAUUAUACCCUGCGGAUGAUCCCAA
rnacentral:rRNA from 1 species